rnacentral:misc_RNA from 1 species
GAUGAAGAACGUAGUAAAAUGCGAUAAUUAAUGUGAAUUGCAGAAUUCAGUGAAUCAUCGAGUCUUUGAACGCACAUUGCGCCCCCUGGUAUUCCGGGGGGCAUGCCUGUCCGAGCGUCAUUGCUGCCCUCAAGCACGGCUUGUGUGUUGGGCUUCCGUCCCUGGCAACGGGGACGGGCCCAAAAGGCAGUGGCGGCACCAUGUCUGGUCCUCGAGCGUAUGGGGCUUUGUCACCCGCUCCCGUAGGUCCAGCUGGCAGCUAGCCUCGCAACCAAUCUUUUUAACCAGGUUGACCUCGGAUCAGGUAGGGAUACCCGCUGAACUUAAGCAUAUCAUAAGCGGAGGA